CUAAUACCGCAUAACGUCGCAAGACCAAAGAGGGGGACCUUCGGGCCUCUUGCCAUCAGAUGUGCCCAGAUGGGAUUAGCUUGUUGGUGAGGUAACGGCUCACCAAGGCGACGAUCCCUAGCUGGUCUGAGAGGAUGACCAGCCACACUGGAACUGAGACACGGUCCAGACUCCUACGGGAGGCAGCAGUGGGGAAUAUUGCACAAUGGGCGCAAGCCUGAUGCAGCCAUGCCGCGUGUAUGAAGAAGGCCUUCGGGUUGUAAAGUACUUUCAGCGGGGAGGAAGGUGUUGUGGUUAAUAACCGCAGCAAUUGACGUUACCCGCAGAAGAAGCACCGGCUAACUCCGUGCCAGCAGCCGCGGUAAUACGGAGGGUGCAAGCGUUAAUCGGAAUUACUGGGCGUAAAGCGCACGCAGGCGGUCUGUCAAGUCGGAUGUGAAAUCCCCGGGCUCAACCU
rnacentral:rRNA from 1 species